ensembl:lncRNA
GCCUGACAAUCCUUCGGCGCUGGGAAAGCAGGUCCAAAGGAAGUGGCCAUAUGGACUUGAGCAUGCAAAUUUACAACAAUGCGCAAAACUCGUGUUGUUCUCCGCGACGCACGGCGACGUGGAAGCGCGAGAAACACGCGUGCAGCAAAGAAAAGACACGCAAAGGCAAAAACCAGACGUCCACAGUGGGGUCGGCAGUCUGACAAUCAGCACUUUCAGCUCUAAAAGCCAUCCGGUGUUCAUGGAUGCUCGAAACCACACGCAGGACAAUCCACCCACGACGCUGUCAAAGCAAAGCAAGCCCCAAAACAAGAAUCUGCAAAAGGUGGAUGUUUUUACGUUAAUCGUAUUUUCACUGUAACCAGGUUUUGCUCAGGGCCUGGUGUGUCCCUCUGAUGGUUUUAACCAUUUACAAACCUUUAUAAACUUUAAACACCAAGUCUUUUAUUUGAAACCAACCCGGGACACACAAACGUGAUGAAUUUAACAGUAAAUUUAAAAAAGAAAGUUUCACUCCCUUUAUCUUAUUUGAAUUUAUUCAAGGUGUGAGUUUGAUGAUGCUAAAUAAUAAAAAUAAAAAGCCUCUG